CGGGGUGUAGCGCAGUUGGUAGCGCACAGCGUUUGGGACGCUGGGGUCGUGGGUUCGAGUCCCUCCACCCCGACCA
rnacentral:tRNA from 1 species